rnacentral:rRNA from 1 species
UACGGGGGGGGCAAGCGUUGUUCGGAAUUACUGGGCGUAAAGGGCGCGUAGGCGGCCUACUAAGUCGGACGUGAAAUCCCUCGGCUCAACCGGGGAACUGCAUCCGAUACUGGAUGGCUUGAAUCCGGGAGAGGGAUGCGGAAUUCCAGGUGUAGCGGUGAAAUGCGUAGAUAUCUGGAGGAACACCUGAGGCGAAGGCGGGCUACUGGGCCGAUACUGACGCUGAGGCGCGAAAGCCAGGGGAGCGAACGGG